AACGAACGCUGGCGGCGUGCCUAACACAUGCAAGUCGGACGAGAACGCGGGCUUCGGCCCGUUAGUAAAGUGGCAGACGGGUGAGUAACACGUGGGUAACCUGCCCGGAGGUGGGGGAUAACCCUCCGAAAGGAGGGCUAAUACCGCAUGAUAUCGGCGGGGUUUCGACCUCGCCGAUCAAAGCUAGCCUCUACAUGUAAGCUAGCGCCAUCGGAGGGGCCCGCGCCCCAUUAGCUUGUUGGUGAGGUAAAGGCUCACCAAGGCGACGAUGGGUAGCCGGCCUGAGAGGGCGAUCGGCCACACUGGAACUGAGACACGGUCCAGACUCCUACGGGAGGCAGCAGUGAGGAAUUUUGCGCAAUGGGGGAAACCCUG
rnacentral:rRNA from 1 species